CUACGUGCCAGCAGCCGCGGUAAUACGGAGGGUGCGAGCGUUAAUCGGAAUAACUGGGCGUAAAGGGCACGCAGGCGGUGACUUAAGUGAGAUGUGAAAGCCCCGGGCUUAACCUGGGAAUUGCAUUUCAUACUGGGUCGCUAGAGUACUUUAGGGAGGGGUAGAAUUCCACGUGUAGCGGUGAAAUGCGUAGAGAUGUGGAGGAAUACCGAAGGCGAAGGCAGCCCCUUGGGAAUGUACUGACGCUCAUGUGCGAAAGCGUGGGGAGCAAACAGGAUUAGAUACCCUGGUAGUCCACGCUGUAAACGAUGUCGAUUUGGGGGUUGAACUUUGAGUUUGGCGACCGUAGCUAACGUGAUAAAUCGACCGCCUGGGGAGUACGGCCGCAAGGUUAAAACUCAAAUGAAUUGACGGGGGCCCGCACAAGCGGUGGAGCAUGUGGUUUAAUUCGAUGCAACGCGAAGAACCCUACCUACUCUUGAC
rnacentral:rRNA from 1 species